rnacentral:rRNA from 1 species
AGCUGCGUCGAGAUCAUUCGCAUGGGCGAAGCCUGACGAUGCGACGCUGUGUGAGCGAUGAAGGCCUUCSGGUCUUAAAGCUCUUUCGCUUGGGAACAAGAGAUGCUGGCUAAGAACAGACAMAUUUGAGGGUACCAAGUAAAGAAGCACCGGCUAACUCC